ACAACAACAACAGAAAGAGAAACGACAACAACAACAGAAAGAGGCACAACAACAACAAGAUCUCCAAAAAAAUAGCCAUGAACAAUUUCAAACAGUAUUGGUAGAAACACAAUUUGAAGAACAAUACCAACAAGAUCCAACAACAAAUGUUUCCACAUCAAAUGUCUCCAUGACAGGGUCACAUCUUCAGUAUUUGCCACGUUCCAGAUGCAAUUCAUUAGAUGAUUAUCUUAACAACCAUUCAUUCGAUGAAACCCUAUCCAUACCGAUAUCGACACCCGCACCAAAUGACAAUAGUAAGGCAAUACCUACAACAACCUCAACUACGACUGCAACUACAUCAGCCAAUCAGAAAAGCAAAAAAACAAAUUCAACAUUAGAGCGCAAAUUGGAAAUUUGAAAUACCAAAUUAGAUUACAUAAUAGAUGUAUUACACGAAAAAUCAGGACAUAGUGAGCCAGUAAAUGAAUUUGUUUUCGAAGCAAUACAGGACCAAAAACAAUUAGAGGAUUUUGAAAGCCAGCUAGGAGAAUCAAACGAUACUUUUAAACAAAAAAAUUUAACGGAGCUGCGAAGUUCAUUAAAGUUAGGGAACUCUAAAUACCAAAUACACCAGUCAUUGGACUUACUAUUUUCCCGGCAAUUUUUAGCUAAAAUGACUUGGUCCGGACGCAGUAAAACAGAGCAAAAGAUUCCUUUCUCGUCCUACACUAACAUAAAAAAAUUAUUCUUGGAAAUUGCGGAGACAAAAUUUGUGAAACCGGCGGAAAGAUUUGUUUUUGAUUAUAUAGGACAGAAAUUACGACAUGCCAGCUCUAGACUUAAUCUGUCCGGAGCUCGUGCUUCUACUUCUCAUAAUUUUAAGCCUAAACACUAAAUAAGGUAAUGCUAGAGAAAAUAGAAUUAAUAACAAAGUAUGUUCCUUUAUAUAUUACAUUAUAUUAUGUUAAUUAUGUUCGAUAAGCUUACACAUGAUCUUAUACUUGUGAUAACAUAUGUUAAGUAUAUAAUGAAACAAAGUUUGAAUUUAUGAAAUGAAUUAAAAUUAAAAGAAUUUAAAAUUCUA